UACGAAGGGGGCGAGCGUUGUUCGGAAUUACUGGGCGGAAAGGGCGCGUAGGCGGUCCUUCAAGUCAGGCGUGAAAGCCCCGGGCUCAACCUGGGAACCGCGCUUGAGACUGGCGGACUCGAGUUCGGGAGAGGAUGGUGGAAUUCCCAGUGUAGAGGUGAAAUUCGUAGAUAUUGGGAAGAACACCGAUGGCGAAGGCAGCCAUCUGGACCGACACUGACGCUGAGGCGCGAAAGCGUGGGGAGCAAACAGG
rnacentral:rRNA from 1 species